GAUGAACGCUAGCGGGAGGCCUAAUACAUGCAAGUCGAGCGGUAGAAAUUUUUUCGGAAAUUUUGAGAGCGGCGGACGGGUGAGUAACGCGUACGAAUCUGCCCCUAAGUUGAGGAUAGCCUCGGGAAACUGGGAGUAAUACUUAAUGUGGUCUACGGAUUAAAGAUUUAUUGCUUAGGGAUGAGCGUGCGUAAGAUUAGCUAGUUGGUGAGGUAAGGGCUCACCAAGGCUACGAUCUUUAGGGGGCGUGAGAGCGUGAACCCCCACACGGGUACUGAGACACGGACCCGACUCCUACGGGAGGCAGCAGUAAGGAAUAUUGGACAAUGGGGGCAACCCUGAUCCAGCCAUCCCGCGUGCAGGAAGACGGCCCUAUGGGUUGUAAACUGCUUUUAUAUAGGAAGAAAGGCAUCUAUUUAUAGGUGUAUAUGACGGUACUAUAGGAAUAAGCACCGGCUAACUCCG
rnacentral:rRNA from 1 species